rnacentral:rRNA from 1 species
UUCCAGACUCCUACGGGAGGCAGCAGUGGGGAAUAUUGCACAAUGGGGGAAACCCUGAUGCAGCGACGCCGCGUGAGUGAAGAAGUAUUUCGGUAUGUAAAGCUCUAUCAGCAGGGAAGAAAAUGACGGUACCUGACUAAGAAGCCCCGGCUAACUACGUGCCAGCAGCCGCGGUAAUACGUAGGGGGCAAGCGUUAUCCGGAUUUACUGGGUGUAAAGGGAGCGUAGACGGUGAUGCAAGUCAGAAGUGAAAGCCCGGGGCUCAACUCCGGGACUGCUUUUGAAACUGUGUAACUGGAGUGCAGGAGAGGUAAGCGGAAUUCCUGGUGUAGCGGUGAAAUGCGUAGAUAUCAGGAGGAACACCAGUGGCGAAGGCGGCUUACUGGACUGUAACUGACGUUGAGGCUCGAAAGCGUGGGGAGCAAACAGGAUUAGAUACCCGAGUAAC